rnacentral:rRNA from 1 species
GAUGAACGCUGGCGGCGUGCUUAACACAUGCAAGUCGAACGGAAAGGCCCAAGCUUGCUUGGGUCCUCGAGUGGCGAACGGGUGAGUAACACGUGGGUGAUCUGCCCUGCACUUCGGGAUAAGCCUGGGAAACUGGGUCUAAUACCGGAUAGGACCACAUUUUGGAUGGUGUGGUGGAAAGUUUUUCGGUGUGGGAUGAGCUCGCGGCCUAUCAGCUUGUUGGUGGGGUAAUGGCCUACCAAGGCGUCGACGGGUAGCCGGCCUGAGAGGGUGUACGGCCACAUUGGGACUGAGAUACGGCCCAGACUCCUACGGGAGGCAGCAGUGGGGAAUAUUGCACAAUGGGCGCAAGCCUGAUGCAGCGACGCCGCGUGGGGGAUGACGUCCUUCGGGUUGUAAACUCCUUUCGCUAGGGACGAAGCGCAAGUGACGGUACCUGGAGAAGAAGCACCGGCUAACUACGUG